CCAAAAAACUUGAAUUACCGAAAGUUUCAAUCCUUUUAAAUAAUUGCUUAUUUUUAUAUAUUUUUUUAAUUUAAACAUUAUGGAUUUCUGGUGAAUAAUAACAUGCCAACCGUGUAUACAAGCCAGAUAGUUAUUUUAAAUAAAUAUGAUUUAAUAAAGGCUGUAAUUAUUUAAUUUGAACGGUUUUUUUAAAAAAAUGUUUUAUAAAAAUAAGUUUUGUUGUUAGGUUAUCAUACAAAUUGUUAUCUUGUUGUACUCGGUAAGACCUGAAUUUUGAUGUAAUUGGAAGCGUGAAUAUUUUCUAUUCACCCAGAAUUACGUUUCAUCAAAAUGUUCAUCAACACCAUUCAGUUAUUGCGACUAUCAAAUUUAAACACUGUAUUUUAUUACAGAGUAUUAUGUCUUUAUUUGUCAAAACUAAUUAUACAAAUAUAUGAGUUAAACUAUAAUUCCGAAGAAGAUUUUAAUAGAGCUUACAAAAAAGUCAUUCGUUGUCGACAAAAACAAAUGGAUGAUCAACAUUGGAACAUUUAUAUGGAAUCAAUUAAUGAUACAGACUCUAAAAAAACAUUCACUAUUGAAAAUAAUACAGAAGUUAAACAAAGUGAACACUUAUUUAAUAAAGGCAGUAAUAGCCAGUUUAGUACAGAUGAUUCAGUAAAUUUGCGCUCAUUGCAUGAUCCUUCUGAUCUUAAUAAUAUUCAUGGACUUAGAAACCGUUUGUUUAUUACAUUUAAUGCAUUUUCUAAAAUAUUAGAAAAUGCACUUUCACCACCCGUUUUAAAAAGUGCUAAAAAAAAACAAAUUAAAAUUAAAGAAUGUGAUCAACUACCAAAUAAUUAUAUAUGUGAUCUCAAUUCACUGCUAUCUGAAAUUAAAAAAGAAUCAAAAAAUGAAGACCUGCACGGAAAAAAAAAUAAAAACAAUGUCACAUUAAGAAAAAGCUUUCAAAUUAAGUUGAUUAAAUGCUAUAAAUUAGCAAUUAAUGCCACAAAGGAAUGUUCAAAAACCUUAGAAGCUGGAAUUUAUAACCCUAUUCAAAGUAAAAUGAAAAAUUUGAUCCAAAUUAUAUCAACUCUAUCACUUACUACCGGAAAAUAUAUAUAUGGUGAAUUAUAUAAGAAAAAAAAGAAAGAAAGUUUUGAUUUAGUUCAACAUUGCAAAGAUUUAGAUAAUAUGUUGGAGGAAUCUGGUUAUAAAGACACAGACGAUGACAAUCAUAGUAAUAAUAUGGAUAACAAUAUACUGAAUGAGCUUUCUAAGAUAGCUUUAAGUAAACCUGCUAAAACCCAACCGUUUUCGGCCAACUCAAAUCGAUUAAGUAUGUAUAGUCAUGAUCAACCAAAAUUGGGAUCGUGUUAUGCUCAAGGAUGGUCAAAAAAAUCAUUUGAAUUAACAAGAAAUAAAGUUUUAUCAAAAAAAGACAAUAUCAUAAAAACUGAAAAUAAUUUAGAUGAUGUCAAAACUGUAAUGGAAGAAUAUCCCUUCAGAGAAUCGAAUGAAACAAACAAUAAAUUGUUUAUUAAAGAGAUACAAAAUGAAAAAAUAAUUGAUACUAAUGAAGCAAUUAAAUUUCCAACUGCUUCAAAAGUAUUAAAGUCAGAUAACAGUAAAAGGUCAGAAAACAGUAAUGUUGGCCUAUACUAUGUGAGACAUAACCCUUGGAAAAAUUUUCCUAUUAAAAGUACUAAAUUAUUUAAAUUUAUAUUUCAUAAGAGAUAUAAGGCUAUCUAAGGAUAAUGAACAAAUUCUUUUAAACAUAUCUCAGAAAGACGCAGAGGAAGCUCAUUCAGAUCGAAGAAAAUUUAAAGAGUAUAAAUUAAGAACAGAACGUGAUGAUAAUAUCGUAUCCAAGAUUACAGAAUUAGUUUUACAAGACCUCAUAAAUGAAGUGUUAACAAAAAUAUUUGAUGCAAUAAUAUUUGAAACAAUAAGAAGGGAAU